rnacentral:snoRNA from 1 species
UUUGGGAAGUGAUGAUAAUCUAUAUCUAUGUAUAUCAGAGGCUCAGCCCGUCUGUGCAUUGCUGAACAGAUAUUUUGCACGUCAGUCUGAUCCCAAA